UACGUAGGGUGCGAGCGUUGUCCGGAAUUAUUGGGCGUAAAGGGCUCGUAGGCGGUUUGUCGCGUCGGGAGUGAAAUCCACUGGCUUAACUGGUGGCUUGCUUUCGAUACGGGCAGACUGGAGGUAUGCAGGGGGAGAACGAAUUCCUGGUGUAGCGGUGAAAAUGCGCAGAUAUCAGGAGGAACACCGGUGGCGAAGGCGGUUCUCUGGGCAUGUCCUGACGUGAGGAGCGAAAGUGUGGGGAGCGAACAGG
rnacentral:rRNA from 1 species